rnacentral:rRNA from 1 species
GACGAACGCUGGCGGCGUGCUUAACACAUGCAAGUCGAACGGAAAGGCCCUGCCUUUGUGGGGUGCUCGAGUGGCGAACGGGUGAGUAACACGUGAGUAACCUGCCCUUGACUUUGGGAUAACUUCAGGAAACUGGGGCUAAUACCGGAUAGGAGCUCCUGCUGCAUGGUGGGGGUGGGAAAGUUUCGGCGGGUGGGGAUGGAGUGGCGGCUUAUCAGCUUGUUGGUGGGGUAGUGGCUUACCAAGGCUUUGAGGGGUGGCCGGCUGGGGGGGGUGACCGGCCAAUUUGGACUGGGGAUACGGCCCAGACUCCUACGGGAGGCAGCGGUGGGGAAAAUGCACAAUGGGCGGAAGCCUAAUGCAGCAACGCCGCGUGCGGGAUGACGGCCUUCGGGUUGUAAACCGCUUUCGCCUGUGACGAAGCGUGAGUGACGGUAAUUGGUAAAGAAGCACCGGCUAACUACGUG